GACGAACGCUGGCGGCGUGCUUAACACAUGCAAGUCGAACGGAAAGGCCCUGCUUUUGUGGGGUGCUCGAGUGGCGAACGGGUGAGUAACACGUGAGUAACCUGCCCUUGACUCUGGGAUAACUUCAGGAAACUUGGGCUAAUACCGGAUAGCAGCUCCUGCUGCAUGGUGGGGGUUGGAUAGUUUCGGCGGUUGGGGAUGGACUCGCGGCUUAUCAGCUUGUUGGUGGGGUAGUGGCGUACCAAGGCUUUGACGGGUAGCCGGCCUGAGAGGGUGACCGGCCACAUUGGGACUGAGAUACGGCCCAGACUCCUACGGGAGGCAGCAGUGGGGAAUAUUGCACAAUGGGAGGAAGCCUGAUGCAGAAACGCCGCGUGCGGGAUGACUGCCUUCGGGUUGUAAACCGCUUUAGCCUGUGGCGAAGCGUGAGUGACGGUAAUGGGAAAAGAAGCACCGGCUAAAUACGUG
rnacentral:rRNA from 1 species